GAUGAACGCUGGCGGCGUGCCUAAUACAUGCAAGUCGAGCGAAUGGAUUAAGAGCUUGCUCUUAUGAAGUUAGCGGCGGACGGGUGAGUAACACGUGGGUAACCUGCCCAUAAGACUGGGAUAACUCCGGGAAACCGGGGCUAAUACCGGAUAAUAUUUUGAACUGCAUGGUUCAAAAUUGAAAGGCGGCUUCGGCUGUCACUUAUGGAUGGACCCGCGCCGCAUUAGCUAGUUGGUGAGGUAACGGCUCACCAAGGCAACGAUGCGUAGCCGACCUGAGAGGGUGAACGGCCACACUGGGACUGAGACACGGCCCAGACUCCUACGGGAGGCAGCAGUAGGGAAUCUUCCGCAAUGGACGAAAGUCUGACGGAGCAACGCCGCGUGAGUGAUGAAGGCUUUCGGGUCGUAAAACUCUGUUGUUAGGGAAGAACAAGUGCUAGUUGAAUAAGCUGGCACCUUGACGGUACCUAACCAGAAAGCCACGGCUAACUACGUGCCAGCCGCCGCGGUAA
rnacentral:rRNA from 1 species